CACGUAGGGGGCGAGCGUUGUCCGGAUUUAUUGGGCGUAAAGAGCUCGUAGGCGGCUCAGUAAGUCAGGUGUGAAAACUCCAGGCUCAACCUGGAGACGCCACCUGAUACUGCUGUGGCUAGAGUCCGGUAGGGGAGCAUGGAAUUCCCGGUGUAGCGGUGAAAUGCGCAGAUAUCGGGAAGAACACCCGUGGCGAAGGCGGUUCUCUGGGACGGUACUGACGCUGAGACGCGAAAGCGUGGGGAGCGAACAGG
rnacentral:rRNA from 1 species